UAGAGUUUGAUCAUGGCUCAGAUUGACCGCUGGCGGUAUGCUUAACACAUGCAAGUCGAACGGUAGCAGGCCUUCGGGCGCUGACGAGUGGCGGACGGGUGAGUAACGCGUAGGAAUCUGCCUCAUAGUGGGGGACAACGUGGGGAAACUCACGCUAAUACCGCAUACGCCCUACGGGGGAAAGCGGGGGAUCUUCGGACCUCGCGCUAUGAGAUGAGCCUGCGUUAGAUUAGCUAGUUGGUAGGGUAAAGGCCUACCAAGGCGACGAUCUAUAGCUGGUCUGAGAGGACGAUCAGCCACACUGGGACUGAGACACGGCCCAGACUCCUACGGGAGGCAGCAGUGGGGAAUAUUGGACAAUGGGCGCAAGCCUGAUCCAGCAAUACCGCGUGUGUGAAGAAGGCCUUAGGGUUGUAAAGCACUUUCAAUUGGGAGGAAAACCUGUCGGUCAAUACCCGGCAGCUUGACAUUAUCUUUAGAAGAAGCACCGGCUAACUCCGUGCCAGCAGCCGCGGUAAUA
rnacentral:rRNA from 1 species